rnacentral:rRNA from 1 species
ACCCGCUGAACUUAAGCAUAUCAAUAAGCGGAGGAAAAGAAACCAACAGGGAUUGCCCUAGUAACGGCGAGUGAAGCGGCAACAGCUCAAAUUUGAAAUCUGGCGUCUUUGGCGUCCGAGUUGUAAUUUGCAGAGGGCGCUUUGGCAUUGGCAGCGGUCCAAGUUCCUUGGAACAGGACGUCACAGAGGGUGAGAAUCCCGUACGUGGUCGCUAGCCUUUACCGUGUAAAGCCCCUUCGACGAGUCGAGUUGUUUGGGAAUGCAGCCCUAAAUGGGAGGUAAAUUUCUUCUAAAGCUAAAUACUGGCCAGAGACCGAUAGCGCACAAGUAGAGUGAUCGAAAGAUGAAAAGCACUUUGGAAAGAGAGUUAAAAAGCACGUGAAAUUGUUGAAAGGGAAGCGCUUGCAGCCAGACUUGCCUGUAGUUGCUCAUCCGGGUUUUUACCCGGUGCACUCUUCUAUAGGCAGGCCAGCAUCAGUUUGGGCGGUUGGAUAAAGGUCUCUGUCAUGUACCUCUCUUCGGGGAGAACUUAUAGGGGAGACGACAUGCAACCAGCCCGGACUGAGGUCCGCGCAUCUGCUAGGAUGCUGGCGUAAUGGCUGU